UCGUGGACAAAUAAAAAAAACGUAGUUUUCACCGUUUCACUUGAGUUUUUCACAGCUUAAGCCAUUUCCUACGCCAUUUUCGUGCACACGUACUGAGAACGGAACGACGACGGGCCAACCAUCGUAGAAAUAUUCAAAAGGAUGGUUUGGUUGUUUUCCACCCUCUCUCUCCCUCUCUCUCUCUCUGCUCUCUCUCUUCGAGACAAUAUGUACAGGCGGACGCAGGGUAUAACACUAUUGGUGAGGGACAGAACUGCGCUGACGCAUUGAGAGCGGCUCUCACUCUCAGUGUCCCCAGAGAGAGAGAGAGAGAGAGAGAGAGCGCGGAUGUAUGGGAACUGUACAAUGCCGAAGGAGAGAUCAAUGCACGUAUAGGAUUCGUUCAACCUCUAGACAGUCAGAAUGCCAAAGGAUACUUUGUGUCAGUUUAAUAGAAAGAACUUAUCUUUUUUCGCUCACUCUCGGUAGUAUCGUUGUUCGUUGAUAUUUACCUUGUGCUGUAAAUGGAUCG